rnacentral:lncRNA from 1 species
UAAAAACAAAGAAAGAAAGGAAGCAAAAUUGUCUUACUUGUGACAAUGUGGAUUGAAGCUAAGCAAACACACCAAAAAGCUAUCUUGUCAAUGUCAAGAGCAGAUAAAUAGAAGAAUAAGGUCUGCGAAAAAAUGAGAAAGAAAAGGGAUAUGAUUUUGUUAAAUGAAAUAAUAAAAAUUGAUCUAAUAGAGACAAAAU